rnacentral:rRNA from 1 species
UGGAGGAAAGCAGGGGAUCGUAAGACCUUGCGCUUUUGGAGCGGCCGAUGUUUGAUUAGCUAGUUGGUGGGGUAAUGGCCUACCAAAGCUUCGAUCAGUAGCUGGUCUGAGAGGACGGCCAGCCACACUGGGACUGAGACACGGCCCAGACUCCUACGGGAGGCAGCAGUGGGGAAUUUUGGACAAUGGGCGCAAGCCUGAUCCAGCCAUGCCGCGUGAGUGAAGAAGGCCUUCGAGUUGUAAAGCUCUUUCAGCCGGGAAGAAAAGGCUGCGACUAAUAAUCGCAGUUCAUGACGGUACCGGAAGAAGAAGCACCGGCUAACUACGUGCCAGCAGCCGCGGUAAUACGUAGGGUGCGAGCGUUAAUCGGAAUUACUGGGCGUAAAGGGUGCGCAGGCGGUUUUGUAAGUCAGAUGUGA